rnacentral:lncRNA from 1 species
CCCUUAGCGUCAUUGUUUCACUAUCAUUACCUGCUCCCCAAAGACAGAUUUAGGAUUUAAACUCUAAAAAAAAUUGUUUAAAUGUCGCUCACCAACCAUGUGUGUAAAUAAUUGUAUAUAUUUAAUGUAUAAUUAUGUCUAUCGACUAAAAAUAUAAACAAUGAAUUUGACCGAGUUUUUGAUAAAGAUCCCUAAAAACUCUAUGGGUUGAAUAUGUAGUUCAAUAUCAUNNNNN